rnacentral:lncRNA from 1 species
UUAGAAGAUUUGCCAAACACCAAAUUAAUACUUUCUCCCGAAAUUAAAUCAUCGUCUAUGAUUUUCAAGCUCUCUAAACAGAAAAUUGUCAUUCAAUUUUAAAGACUAAUCAUGUUUUCAUCCUCAAUUUCUCAAGAGAUCUUCACACGUUUUACCUCAAGUUAGCUCCACAGCUCAUCGAUUUUUCAAAAAUUAAGGUGGGAUUCUAAAUUUUAUGUUUAAACUAAGUGAUUUGUUAUUUCAAUUCGAGAUCUAAAUGAGUUAAUCAAGAUUUCAAUAGAUCAAUUGGUUUUAACUUGAUUUUUGGCUUGAAAAUGGUAGAUAUCGUAUUUGUUAGCCAAUAUUUUGUUUUGAAUUGAAUUCUAACUCAUUUUUAUUUUAUUAAAAGGUUUUUAAUCUUGAUUUAAUGAACCCUUUAUUAAUUUGAAUGAAUUGAACGUUUUCCCCUUUUCAAAGAUUACAUAAGCUUGAUUUUUCUAGAAAAAUUAUAUCAGUGUAAUUAGAUAAAAUUGAAAGUUUAGAUCUAUAAUUAGAUUAUAUUUAGGUUAUAUGAAGUUGAAAUCUAAGCUUAGAAACGAGGUUUGAAUGGUUAAACAUCUAUUUCGACAAAACUAUUAUGAAUGAGGAGCUUUAAUUUACAAUUUUAGAGGGAUCUAAUUGUGUUUUUUUGUUAUUUUUAAUUCCUUUUUAUUAUGUUUGAUGUGUAUGUGAAGUGCCAACUCAUUUGGGAGCCUUCACAAUCAAGGAGAAAGGGAAACAAAAGCUUACUUGAGCUUUGUUAUGAAAGAAAGUUGCUAAGGUGAGUAGUCUUGUGUGCUAUAAUUAAUGCACAAAUUAGUGAGUUAAAGAGGGCUUAGGUGGUCUAAUAAUCUUAUCUAUGUCCUAAGAGUAAGUUUUCUUACUUGAACUUUAUUAUUUUAUAAGCAAGCUUACAUGUGUUAUGAUAUGUUCAAGUGUGUGAUGUGAAUAUAUAUGUUGGAUGUAUGACUUAAUAUAACUUGUAAGCAACUGGUUUUAUGCACACAAAUUUUAUAUGAAAGUGUAUUUUGCUCAUUGAGCAAAGUUCUUGCACUUGAGGUGCAUUAUGUGAAUGUGACAAGUGAUAUUAAAAUGAUAAGUGUGAGUGUGCAUAAACUGGAAAAUUAAUGUGCAUAAAUAUUUGAAAACAUUGGAUAUGAUUAGCAUGCCACGGGAUUUGAGUAUAAACUCUCUAUUUUUUGGUAGAAUAACAAUUUCUCAAAAAAGUUGUGUGAAUAGCUCUACCGGUGCCCACUAUUUAUAGGAAUAGAAGGUAGAACCCUUAUAGAGUUCUAGAAGUUUAUUUUAAACAGAAAAACAAUAUUCUUCUUAGAGUAGGAGAGGGGUGAACGUCCCACCCUUUUUGUAACACCCCUAACCCGAUACCGUUGCUGGAGUCGAGCUCGAGGCAUUACUUUACUUAACUUAAAAAUUCGGGGCAUAAAAUUUUACUUUUGAAAUUAAUUUCACUAUUCACAACAAAGCUAUCCACCUGUGCAACAGUUACUAAUUUAGUUAUAACUCAAGUUAAGAAAUUUGAAAUUUAAAUCUAUAAAUUUUCCCUAAAACUAGACUCAUAUUUCUUCUUACCAUAAAUUUUUCAGAAUUUGUUGUUUAGCCAAUUAGUACAGUUUAUUAGUUAAAGUCUCCACUGUUUCACCACUCGACUAUCCUAACCUCUUGUCACUAAAAAUAAGAUUUCUCAUUGUAGGAUUUUCAUAUGGUGUUCUCACUUCUUUCUACAGAAAAUAGACUCAAUAAGUAAUCUAGAAAUAUAAACUACAACUCAUAACCAUUUUUGUAAAACUUUUAAUGAUUUUCUAAACUCAGAACAGAGGACUCCAAAAAUAGUUCUGACCCUGUCUCACUAAAAUUCACAUAUCUUAAAAUAUAAAAUUCCUUUUCCUGCACCAUUAUUUUUCUAUGAAAGUAGACUCAAUAAUAUUUAAUUCUAUAUAUUAUUCACCUUCUAAUUAAUUUUAUACUAUCCUAGGUGAUUUUUCAAACUCACGUCACUGUUGCUGCUUGAAAUCUGUUUCUUUGCAAAUUUUACUCUUUCAUGAUUUCUAUGCAUGAUUUAUCACCUAAACAUUUGUAACAAAAAACACCUUCAUACUUAGCCAUUUUAACAACCAUUCAUCAUCAAAUACUUACAUAUCAUUCUUUAGCAAAAUCAUAAAUACAAACAUCCAAAAUAACUAAGUCCCUAUACAUGCCAUAACCCAAAUAUGGUUCAUCAUAAAAUACCGAGUUGUUGUCGUUGAUAGUGUGGACGAUCUCUGACGUCUUUAAGUUCCCGAAAGUAGCUUUACAAUACUAUAAGAGAAAGAAAAAUAAAAUAAGUAAGCAUAAGCUUUGUAAGUUUACUAGCAAAUAAAUAACAACAUUUAACACAUAAUUAAACUCAAAUGUCAAGAUCUCUAGUUUACUCUUUAUUUAAUCUCAUUCUCGUUCUCUUCCUGGUUUACUUCGUUAACUCAUGAUCAUAACUUAUUCUUCUCUUGAUGAAACAUUGAGUAUCAAUUGAUAAUAUAGUAAGUUCUUAACUCGUAUAACUCAUCUGAGCUUGCCAUUUAUGCUUUUAAAUGAACUUUUAUUAACAUGAUUCGUUUACUAGCUCGUUGAGCCACGUUGGAAUAAUAAGGAUACUUGGGUCUUUUCUGAUAAUAACAUGCCAAAGCCAUGUCCCACACAUUAUCUUACGGGGGACCUCUCAACUCAGUUCCAACGCCAUGUCCCAGACAUGGUCUUACAUGGGACCUCUUUACCCAAAUGUCAUGACAUUUGUAUCCGAUACAUUCCUCAUGUUUCAACGGGGCUUUUUAACACCGAUUCUCUGUCAUAUCAUACUUGAGUCAACAUUAAAUAAACUCAUAAAAUAAAUUCAUAAUUGCUGGAAAAUAAAAAUAUUAAUAAUAAUUAUUUGAAAUAUUGUAUUUAUUUACCGUAAACUUACCUCGGUACAAAAUAUAGCCAAAUUCACCAACUUAGCCUUCAACUUUAUUCUUUCCUUUGUCUAACCUCGAGUUUCAUUCUUCUUGAUCUAAAAUAGCAAAAAUAACUCAUUUAAUACUCAUAUUUGUCAAAAUAGCCCUCGACUCUAACUUUGGAAAAAUUAUGAUUAUGCCCCUAAACUUUUACAUAAUUAUGUUUUUGCCCCAAAGUUCGAAAAUUAAACUUUGUCUCAUAUUCUUAUGUUAUAUAACAUGCUGAACAUUUUUCUCUUCUAUGACAACAUCAAAUUCUCACUCUAACACUUACUUAUGUACAUUAGGGUUUUUUAAUGAUUUUGUCAACUUACACAUUUUCGCUUAAAAUCGGCUAGCAAAAGUUGUUUAACAUAAUUUCUAGCUUCAUAUUCUAUCAUAAAACAUAAAAAUAAACACUUUUCACCAAUUGAUAUUUUUCCAAAUAUAAACCCUAGGUUAAAUUAUUGCUAGAAUAAGCUAAAUUAAGCUACCGGGAUCUCAAAAACGUAAAAAGCAUUAAAAACGGGACUUAGGAUCACUUACUAUGGAGCUUGGAAGCUUGAAAACCCUAACUAUGGCUUCUCCCCUUGCUAAAUUCGGCCUAAUGAAAAAUAUGAUCAAAAAUUGGCUUUUAAUUCUGUUUUUAAUUCAUUUUAAUAACUAAAUGACUAAAAUGCCCUUAAUGAAAAACUUUGGAAACAUGCCUAACCAUAUCCAUUUUUGUCCACCAACUUAACCAAUGGUCUAACUGCCAUAUAAAGACCUCCAAUUUAAGAUUUCAUAACAAUUGGACACCUCUAACAUAUAGAACUCAACUUUUGCACUUUUUACAAUUUAGUCCUUUUAACUAAAUUGAGUGCCCAAACAUCAAAAUUUUUGAACAAAAUUUUCAAAAAAUCUUUCCGUGAAAUCGUAGGCCAUAGAAAUAUAAUAAAAAUAAAUUUUUCCUCAUCGGAUUUGUGGUCCCAAAACCACUGUUCCGAUAACCUUAAAUUUGGGCCAUUACAACUCUCCACCCUUUUAGGAUUUUCGUCCUCGAAAAUAUUACCAGUAAAGAGAUUCGGGUAUUGGUUCCUUAUUCUCUCUUCCAGUUCCCAUGUCACUUCCUCAAUCCCGUGCUUUUUCCAUAAUACUUUCACCAAUUUUAUCUUUUUGUUUCUAAGCUCAUUUGUUUCCCGUGCUAAUAUCUUAACUGGUUCUUCACUAUAAGUCAUAUUCGGUUGAAUCUUCACUUCUGUCAGAGUAAUAACAUGUGAAGGAUCUGAUCGAUACCGUCGUAGCAUAGAUACAUGAAAAACAUUAUGAAUUCUAUCGAAUUCCGGUGGUAAUGCCAAUCGAUAAGCAACAAGUCCAAUUAUUUCUAUGAUUUCAUAUGGUCCGAUAAAUCUUGGACUCAAUUUACCUUUUCGACCGAACCGGAGAACUUUCUUCCAAGGAGACACUUUUAAUAAUACUUUAUCACCCACCUGAAAUUCAAUCUCUUUUCGUUUAAGAUCAGCAUAUGACUUCUGACGAUCGGAAGUUGCUUUUAGACUAUCCCGAAUCAGCCUUACUUUUUCUUCUGUUUCCCAGAUCAAAUCAACCCCAUGUAUCUUCUUUUCACUGAGCUCUAUCCAAUAGAAUGGUGUUCUACAUUUUUUACCAUACAAAGCUUCAUAUGGAGCCAUUUUAAUACUGGACUGAUAACUGUUAUUAUAAGCAAAUUCAAUCAAAGGUAGAUACAUUUCCCAAUUACCUUCAAACUCUAAUAUACAACAUCGGAGCAUAUCAUCCAAUACCAGAGUUACACGCUCAGAUUGGCCAUCUGUCUGAGCAUGAAAUGUAGUGCUAAAACGCAACUGAGUACCCAAAGCUUCUUGCAAUUUUUCUCAGAAACGAGAAGUAAAUCGGGGAUCUCUAUCUGAUAUAAUGGAGACUGGAACUCCAUGUAGUCUGACAAUCUCAGAUAUGUACAAUUUGGCCAAUUUAUCUAAAGAAUAAUCCAUACAUACCAGAAGAAAGUGCGCGGACUUUGCCAAUCGGUCGACAAUUACCCAAAUGGCAUCUUUCUCCUUCGGAGACAUCGGUAACCCAGAUACAAAAUCCAUAGUGAUUCUUUCCCAUUUCCAUUCCGGUAUAGUGAUUGGAUGAAGUAAUCCCAAAGGCACUUAACGUUCAGCUUUAACCUGUUGACAUAACAAACACCUUGACACAAACUCAGAGAUAUCACAUUUCAUACCUGGCCACCAAUACAUCUUUUUCAAAUCAUUAUACAUUUUAUUACUCCCCGGAUGUACAGACAUGGUACAGCUAUGGGCCUCGUGUAAAAUCUUCUGUAUGAGCUCUGUAUCCUUCGACACACAUACUCUACCGCUGAAUAAUAAACAACCGUCAGUCCCAAUCUGGAAUUCUGAAUCAUUGCUGGAUUCACAAUGUACCCGUUUAGCCUGUAACUUCUCAUCAUUUUUCUGAGCCUCACAUAUUUGUUGACGAAACAUCGAUUUAGCCUUCAUUUCAGUUAUGAUUGAACCAUCAUCAGUCAGUGACAAUCGGCCAUUCAUAGCUCGUAAAGCAAACAGAUAUUCCGGCUCAAAGCAUCAGCUACAACAUUAGCCUUACCUGGAUGAUAAUCAAUAACCAAUUCAUAAUCUUAUAUCAAUUCUAGCCAUCUGCGUUGUCUCAAAUUCAAAUCUUUCAGUGUCAUCAAAUACUUCAAGCUUUUAUGAUCAGUAUAAAUAUGACACUUUUCACCAUACAAAUAAUGCCGCCAUAUUUUCAAUGCAAAUACAAUAGCAGCUAAUUCAAGAUCAUGUACCGGGUAGUUUCUUUCAUGUGCCUUAAGUUGUCUUGAAGCAUAGGCUAUUACUUUAUAUUCUUGCAUCAAGACACAACCCAAACCAUUUAAUGAUGCAUCACUAUAAAUAAUAAAUUCCUUACCCGAUUCAGGCUAUACCAACACAGGUGCUUCCAUCAACAAUUUCUUCAAUCGGUCAAAAUUUUGCUAACAUUUAUCUGUCCAUUCAAAUUUAACAUCUUUCUGUAACAAACGGGUCAUCGGAGAAGCUAUCAUAGAAAACCCCUAUACAAAUCUCCAAUAAUAGCCAGCUAAACCCAAGAAACUUCUAACUUUAGAUACAUUCUUCAGUGGACUCCAAUUGACAAUAGCUGAGAUUUUACACGGAUCUACCCUGAUGCCUUCUGCAGAUACAAUAUUUCCGAGAAAACCCACCUCUCGAAGCCAAAUUUCAUAUUUACUGAAUUUGCAACUCUAUUCUCAAAUGUUCUGCAUGCUUAUUUUCUUCUCGAGAAUAGACUAAAAUAUCAUCAAUGAAAACUACUACAAACCAGUCUAAAUAUGGUCUAAAUAUCCGGUUCAUCAAAUCCAUAAAUGCUACAGGUGCAUUAGUCAGCCCAAACGGCAUAACCAAAAACUCAUAAUGCCCAUACCUGGUUCUGAAAGAUGUCUUUGGCACAUCUGGCUCUUUUACCCGUAACUGGUAAUAACUUGAUCGGAGAUCAAUCUUCGAGAAUACUGUGGCACCUUUCAGCUGAUCAAAUAAGUCAUCAAUUCGAGGCAACGGGUACUUAUUCUUUAUAGUUACCUUAUUGAGCUACUGAUAGUCGAUCCACAAUCUCAAAGACCCGUAUUUCUUUUUCACAAACAAAACUGGAGCACCCCAGGGUGAAUGACUCGGAUGAACAAAACCUCUAUCAACAAGUUCCUGUAAUUGCGUCUUUAACUCUUUUAAUUCUAUAGGAGCCAUACGAUACGAAGCUAUCGAAAUUGGGGUAGUUCUCAGAUUCAAAUCUAUAGAGAAUUCCACUUCUCUUUCUGGUGGUAACCUCGGUAAUUCCUCUGGAAACACAUCAGAAAAUUCACAUACAACUGGCACUGCAUGUAUCUUUGACUCAGAUACCUUAGUAUCUAACACAUAUGCCAAAUAAACAUCAUACCCUUUUUAACACACCUCUAAGCUAUCAUCACUGAAAUCACAUUAGAUAAUUCCUCUGUCUGAUCUGAUUUAACCCGAAGUAAUUCUCCUUUCUGGCACUUCAGCACAAUAUAUUUCUAUUUACAGUUUACUACUGCAUCAUGCUGAGUUAACCAAUCCAUGCCCAAUAUCACAUCAAACUCAUCGAAAGGCAAAAACAUCAAGUCAACCGAAAAACAAAUACCUUUUACCAUCAGUGGACAAUUUUUACAAACUUUAUCCACCACCACAAACUAGCCCAGGGGGUUCGAGACUUUAACCAUAAAUUUAGUAGGUUCAACAGACAAAUUUUUAACAAAUACUAAUUUUGUACAUAUGUAUGAAUGUGUAAAGCCAGGAUAAAUUAAUGCAAUAACAUUAAUAUCAUAGAGAGAAAAUGUACCGGUAAUUAAAUCAGGGGAGGAUGCCUCUUCACGAGCACGAAUAGCAUAUGUUCUUGCGGGUGCUCUAACAUCUAAUCCAACUGCUGAGUCUCUGGACAUACCCCUGUUAUUCGCUCCAACUCCUGGGUUUCUCUGUGGUCUACCUCUAGUAGAAACAUUUCCUGAUCUCUCACUGGGUAUAACUUCUCUCUUAACUGUUUCAGGACAAUCCCGAAUAAAUUGAUCUGGUGCACCACAUCUAAAACAAACAUUUUCACUUGCUCUGCACUCCCCGGGAUGGCGUCUACCACAUUGAGAACAUUCUGGCCUAGAAGGUCGAGUACUGCCCAUACUUGCAACUGUAGUGAUUUGAGCUCUAGAACCCUCAAAUCUUCUGCUUCUGCUUUGGCUAGAAAAUUUGAUCCCCUAGAGAGCUCUCUAGGCCUCUUAGACGUAGACUAAAAUGAUUUACUCAUUUGCCUCUUUUUUGUAUCUUGCACUUCAACUUCAACUUUGGCCUUCUCUUUUUCUUUUAACAAAUCUUCUACUUUACAGGAUCUUUCCACCAAAACAACAAACUCCCUAAUUUCCAAUACACCCACUGAUAGUCGGAUGUCAUCAUUAAGCCCAUCUUCAAAUCUCUUGCACAUGUUAGUUUCGGUGGACACAAAUUCCCAGGCAUAUUUACUAAGUUUGACAAAUUCACAUUCAUAUUCAGUUACGGUCAUCUUUCCUUGUUUUAGCCCAAGAAACCCCUUCCUUUUCUAAUCUAUAAAUCUCUGGCUGAUAUACUUCUUACGGAACUCCUCUAGAAAGAAAUCUCAGGUAACCUUCUCACUCGGUACCACUGACACAAGAGUCUUCCACCAGUGAUAGGCUGAAUCUCGGAGAAGUGACACAACACACUUCAUACAUUCUUCAAGUGUACAAAACAAUUCUUCAAAAACUCAGAUAGUAUUUUCGAGUCAAAAAUCAGCUUUCUCGGCAUCAUCAUCUUUGGUAGCCCGAAACUCUUCAGCCUCUUGUUUCCGAAUCUUAUCAACUGGAGGUCUCUCUCUGAUAACUAAACCUGCAGCUGGGGAAGCUACAUGGGGAACCUGGGAAUCAUGAGGGGGUGGAGGUCUCACAGCCGGAUUCGUACGAACGAACUCGGCAAACCAAUCAUUCAUAGCUUGGAAGAAGGCUUCUCUAGCUCUUCCUCCCUGACUAACUGAUAUGGGCCUUUCACUAACAUUAACAUCUGGUGACACCGUCCCUUCUGCGGGAGCGGGUGCGGGAGCAUUACCCUCUACAUCAUCAGUGCCAACUCGUUCGGGAUCCUUAACUAUAAAAGAAAACAUUUUAAAAUCGUCAGGAAUCAUCACACUAUCAAAAUAUAAGUAUGACAUGUAUAGGUAAACUCUUAUUCAUACUGAGUAUUUCAAGAACCGACUAAACCUGCUCUGGUACCAACAAAAUGUAACACCCCUUACCCGAGACCAUUGCCGGAGUCGAGCUCGAGGCAUUACUUUACUUAACUUAAAAAUUCGGGGCAUAAAAUUUUACUUUUGAAAUUAAUUUCACUAUUCACAACAAAGCUAUCUACCUGCGCAGCAGUUACUAAUUUAGUUAUAACUUGACCUAAAAAAUUUGAAAUUUAAAUCCGUAAAUUUUUCCUAAAACUAGACUAAUAUGUCUUCUUACCAUAAAUUUUUUAGAAUUUUUGGUUUAUCCAAUUAGUACAGUUUAUUAGUUAAAUUCUCCCAUGAUUCACCACUCGACUAUCCUAACCUCUUGUCACUAAAAAUAAGCUUUCUCAUUGUAGGAUUUUCAUAUGGUGUUCUCACUUAUUUAUACAGAAAAUAUACUCAAUAAGUAAUCUAGGCAUAUAAACUACAACUCAUAACCAUUUUUGUAAAACUUUUAAUAAUUUUCUAAACUCAGAACAGAGGACACCAAAAAUAGUUCUGACCCUAUCUCAGUAAAAUUCACAUUUCUUAAAAUAUAAAACUCAUUUUUCUACACCAUUAUUUUUCUAUGAAAUUACACUCAAUAAUCUUUAAUUCUAUAUAUCAUUUACCUUCUAAUUCAUUUUAUAUUAUCCUAGGUGAUUUUUCAAACUCACGUCAUUGUUGCUGCUUGAAAUCUGUUUCUUUGCAAAUUUUACUCUUUCAUGAUUUCUAUGCAUGAUUUAUCACCUAAACAUUUGUAACAACAAACACCUUCAUACUUAGCCAUUUUAACAACCAUUCAUCAUCAAAUACUUACAUAUCAUUCUUUAGAAAAAUCAUAAAUACAAACAUUCAAAAUAACUAAGUCUCUAUACAUGCCAUAACCCAAACAUGGUUCAUCAUAAAAUACCGAGUUGUUGUCGUUGAUAGUGUGGACGAUCUUCAGCGUCUUUAAGUUCCCGAAAGUAGCUUUACAAUACUAUAAGAGAAAAAAAUAAAAGAAGUAAGCAUAAGCUUUGUAAGUUUACUAGCAAAUAAAUAACAUCAUUUAACACAAAUAAUUGAACUCAAAUGUCAAGAUCUCUAGCCUACUCUCUAUUCAAUCUCAUUCUCGUUCCCUUGUUGGUUUACUUAGUUAACUCAUGAUCGUAACUUAUUCUUCUCUUGCUGAAACAUUGAGUAUCAAUUGAUAAUAUAGUAAUUUCUUAACUCUUAUAACUCAUCUGAGCUUGUCAUUUAUGCUUUUAAAUGAUCUUUCAUUAACAUGAUUCGUUUACUAGCUCGUUAAGCCAUGUUGGAAUAAUAAGGAUACUUGGGUUUUUCUGAUAAUAACAUGCCAAAGUCAUGUCCCAGACAUGGUCUUACAUGAGAUGUUCUCAUUUUAGUGCCCAUGCCAUGUCUCACACAUGCUCUUACAGGGGACCUUUUAUCUCGGUGCCAACACCAUGUCCCACACAUGCUCUUACAUGGGAUGUUCUCAUAUCGGUGCCCACGCCAUGUCCCACACAUGCUCUUACGGGGGACCUCUCAUCUCGGAGCCAACGCCAUUUCCCAGACAUGGUCUUACAUGGGACCUCUUUACCCAAAUGUCAUGACAUUUGUAUCCGAUAUAUUCCUCAUGUUUCCACGGGGCUUUUUAACAUUGAUUCUCUGUCAUCUCAUACUUGAGUCAACAUUAAAUAAAUUCAUAAAAUAAAUGCAUAAUUACUGGAAAAUAAAAAUAUUAAUAAUAAUUAUUGAAAUAUUGUAUUUAUUUACCGUAAUCUUACCUCGGUACA